UACGAAGGGUGCAAGCGUUAAUCGGAAUUACUGGGCGUAAAGCGCGCGUAGGUGGUUUGUUAAGUUGGAUGUGAAAGCCCCGGGCUCAACCUGGGAACUGCAUCCAAAACUGGCAAGCUAGAGUAUGGCAGAGGGUGGUGGAAUUUCCUGUGUAGCGGUGAAAUGCGUAGAUAUAGGAAGGAACACCAGUGGCGAAGGCGACCACCUGGGCUAAUACUGACACUGAGGUGCGAAACCGUGGGGAGCUAACCGCAUCAGAUGGCCCCGUAGUUC
rnacentral:rRNA from 1 species